rnacentral:rRNA from 1 species
CGGACCAGCCGAGCCCUGAAGAGUGAGCAGAAUGGCCUGGAAAGGCCAACCACAGCGGGUGACAGUCCCGUAUGCGAAGCUCCAGGGGACAUAUCAAGUAGGGCGGGACACGUGUAAUCCUGUCUGAAGAUCGGGGGACCACCCCCGAAGGCUAAGUACUCCUUGCUGACCGAUAGCGAACCAGUACCGUGAGGGAAAGGUGAAAAGCACCCCGACGAGGGGAGUGAAACAGUACCUGAAACCGGACGCCUACAAGCAGUCGGAGGGGCCUUGAGCCCUGACGGCGUACCUUUUGUAUAAUGGGUCAACGACUUGGUCUAACGAGCGAGCUUAAGCCGAUAGGUGGAGGCGCAGCGAAAGCGAGUCUUAAAAGGGCGCAUGAGUUCGUUGGAUCAGACCCGAAACCAGGUGAUCUAGCCAUGAGCAGGAUGAAGGUUGGGUAACACCAACUGGAGGUCC